UGAAGUGAAGCUCGUCAACAUGUCCUCCUCCUUCACGGUGUGAACGUUUCUCAGUCUGACAUGUUUCUGAGUGUUUAAUAAAACCGUUAGAAUGUCGACGGCGGACAUGUCCGCCGUGCUGGGCAUUCUCCGCUCACUGUACCAACACACGCAGACGCUGGAGGAGUUCGCGGACAGCGUCGUGUUCAGAGAGGGACAGCGGGCUGUACUGCUCCAACAGUCGGACACAAACCGCUUCAAAUCGUUUGUACGAGCUGUUUUCGUCUGCUUCGACAGGGAACUACAGCAAAUACCGAGCUGCAGCCAGAUCUGCACUCUACCUGAGCUUCUGGCCUUUGUUCUUAACAAUCUCAAAAGGAAACGAAAAAGAAACGUCUUGGCACAUGGCUACAAUUUUCUGUCCUUGGCUCAGGAAGAGCGGGAUGCAGACCACUUCAAGUUCCAAGGCGAUAUAACUCAAAGUGCUGCUUACAUCCAUGGCAGCGAUUUGUGGAAGAAAGUCACAGCACGCCUUGGCACAGACAUCACACGGUACCUGUUGGAGAGCUGCUCUGUGUUUGUGGCAGUCCCUCCAUCAUGUGUUUUUCAGGUUAGCGGUGUUCCUGUGUAUGACAGGGUGUCCGUGGCUAAUGCCUCCGCCGGGUUUUAUCUACAUCCUCGCAGUAGGGCACAUGACAGUACUCGAUUUGGAAGGUAUCAAUGGUCAAUGACCUUGAGAAGAAUGCAUGUAAUUCAGAAUCCUAAAGUCAGUAAGAGGAGGAAUAGAAUGAAUGAACAUUUGAAAAGAAGAAAAAGAAAGAGAGAAACUGAUCAAAAUGAAGAGGAGAAGGGUCAGUAUUGUAAAGGAAAGAGAAGACGCGUCGGACGGCAAGAACCCACACAGGACAUCAAACAGGUUUGCUCUGAGACAGUGGAGGGAGGGCCCUCUAUGGCGGUGGAACAAACACAGACUGUGAAGCCUGCGGAGCAAACACAGUCUGUGAAGCCUGUGGAAAAUGGUACUGGUUCUAAACAGGUUGCUGCAACUACACUUCCCUCGGAGGGAGGCCCCAGUUGGAGAUCAGGUAUUUUCCCCCCUAUACCUCCUUCACAGUGUUUCAUUCGCACUUUGGGAUUCAUGUACAGUGGAAGGGGAAUGCGUUGCUUCCUACUCAACAGGAAAAAGAAGAGUGUUGUUGGACCCAAGAGGCUACAAGGGCAAGAUUUAGUAAGAAUAGUCUUCUUUGAGGGAAUGGCUUAUCUAAAUGGGCGCGAAAGGAAGCCAAAGAAACUCCCAAGACGCUUUUUCAAAAUGGUCCCCCUCUUCCGUCAGUUGUUAUGUCAACACAGGAGAUGUCCUUACAGCAGAAUACUGCAGAGCAUGUGUCCACUGGUGAAGGGGAGCGAUCCAGAACAGGGAGAGUUAAUCUCCCUCUUGCAUCAACACUGUGCACCUCACCGCGUCUACCUUUUUGUCAGGGAAUGCCUCUCUGCUGUGAUCCCACAUGAGCUGUGGGGCUCCGACCACAACCGUGUGAUUUUCUUUGCGAGGGUCAGGGUCUUCCUGUGCAGCGGCAAGUCCGAGAAGCUCUCACUGGCUGAACUGCUGUGGAAGAUGAAGGUGAAUGACUGUGACUGGUUGAAGAUCAGUAAGACAGGCAGGUUCCCACCCAGUGAGCUCUCAUACCGGACCCAGAUCCUGGGUCAGUUCCUGGCUUGGCUAGUGGAUGGCUACAUUGUAAGCCUUGUCCGAGCCUGCUUCUAUGUCACUGAGUGUGUGGGUCAGAAGAAUGCCCUGAGGUUCUACAGACAUGAAAUUUGGGCUAAACUGCAGGAUUUGGCCUUCAGAGGUCACCUUUCCAAGGGUCAGAUGGAGGAGUUGACUCCCGCACAAGUGGCAUCCCUUCCCAAAACCACUGUCAUCUCCCGCCUGCGCUUCAUUCCCAAGUCUGAUGGCAUGAGACCUAUCACAAGAGUCAUAGGAGCAGAUCCCAAAACAAGGCUUUACCAAGGGCGUGUUCGGGACUUGCUGGAUAUGCUGCGAGCUUGUGUGUGUUCCUCUCCUUCUCUCCUGGGCUCCACUGUGUGGGGCAUGACAGAUAUCCACAAUGUGUUGCGCUCUUUGGCUCCAGCCCAAAAGGACAAGCCAAGCCCUCUCUACUUUGUUAAGGUGGAUGUAAGUGGAGCCUAUGAGAGUCUGCCUCAUGACAAACUCAUUGAAGUGGUUGGUCAGGCCCUGUCACCCGUCCAGGAAGAACUCUUUACCAUCCGCCGCUUUGCCAAGAUCUGGUCUGAUUCCCAUGAAGGCCUGAAAAGGGCCUUUGUUAGACAGGCAGAUUUACUGGAGGACAACAUGGGAUCCACCAACAUGAAGGGGUUUGUGAUGUCACUGCAGAAAAAAGGCAAAGUUCAUCAUGCCAUACUGGUAGAGCAGCAUUUCUGUUCAGACCUUCACGGGAAAGACGCUUCACAGUUUUUCACUCAGAUGCUAACUGGCAGUAUUGUUCAGUUUGGAAAAAAAACGUACCGUCAGUGCAGAGGAAUUCCCCAAGGAUCAGUUGUGUCCAGUCUGCUCUGCUGUCUCUGCUAUGGUCACAUGGAGAAUGUGCUGUUCAAAGAUAUCAUUAAAAACAAAAGGUGUCUGAUGAGACUGGUGGAUGACUUCCUUCUGAUCACCCCAGACUUCCAAGAAGCACAAAACUUCCUUGAGGUCUUACUGGCUGGGGUACCACAGUAUGGCUUGGUAGUCAACCCACAGAAGGUGGUGCUCAACUUCCAACUGUCGGGAAAUGUGAGUUCCUGUCCAAACAUUCGCGUUCUGCCCCUCCACUGCCUUUUCCCCUGGUGUGGACUGCUCCUUGACACGCACACGCUAGAUGUCUACAAAGACUAUUCCAGCUAUGCAGGUCUGUCUCUGCGCUACAGCCUCACUUUGGGCUCUUUCCACUCAGCUGGACAGCAAAUGAAGAGGAAAAUGAUGGCUGUCCUCAGACUCAAAUGCCACACCCUCUUUUUGGACUUAAAGACCAAUUGCAUUGAGGCAGUCUACAAGAACAUCUACAAGCUGGUGUUGCUCCAAGCACGCAGGUUCCAUGUCUGUGCCCAGAGUUUGCCCUUUGCUCAGACAGUUGCUAAGAACCCUGACUACUUCCUGCAGAUGAUAUGGGACAUGGCAGAGUACGCCAAUCAUCUCAUCAGACUCUGCAACAAAGGAUUGAUUUUAGGCAGCAAAGCUCAGACGGGCAUUGUGCAGUAUGAAGCAGUGGAGCUUAUUUUCUGUCUUUCCUUCUCGCUUGUGCUGGCGCCACACCGUCCCCUGUAUAAGGAUCUGCUCCCACAUUUGCACAAACGGAAGCGCAGUCUGGAGCGGCGUCUGGGGGAUCUGAGGUUGGCCAGAGUCCGACAGGCCACUAACCCAAAGACUCCGGUGGAUUUCUUGGCCAUCCAGAUGUAGACUACCAGCAUGCCACAUUUAUAGCUCCCAGCAACCUUGAAACCCUCGGCAUCUAAAAGAAAACUAUGACCCAGCUGGAUGAGAAUCCACAAAGACAUAGGAGAAACAAUGUUACAGCGCCUGCAAUGGAAACAAGUCACCACACUCACAUCAGGAGAAAAGAGGUACGACAGUCCAUCAGUUGCUCCGGGCAGAGUGAGGGCACGAAUCAGGAAGAUGGUUAGUACCAGGUAAACCUUCCUUUCCUAUGGACUUGAUGCCUCUGAUGAAACAGAUGUAGAUCACGAACCAGGCACUGGCCAGACACACGACUAUCGACCACUGUAUAGAGCCAUUCGUCUCAAUAUUAGGCGUGAUGUUCAGUGUCUCA